rnacentral:rRNA from 4 species
AUAGGCGGCCACCGCGGUGGGGUUGCCUCCCGUACCCAUCCCGAACACGGAAGAUAAGCCCACCAGCGUUCCGGGGAGUACUGGAGUGCGCGAGCCUCUGGGAAAUCCGGUUCGCCGCCACCA